UCUGCUGAGAGAAGUUUAAACAAUUCACGAAUUUCUUACGAGACAAAUCAAUAUUGUGUGGUCAAGCUAGCAAGAAGGAUCAAGGAGUUCCCACCUAAAACAAAAAUAUGAAAAUCUUAAUCGCAGUUUUGUGYAUUCUUCCAYUAGCAUUGGGUUUCCCUGCAGC